AAAUGUCUUAAUAGGAGAAUAUUUAAAUUCAAGUAACCAAGGAAAACAACAUGGGCCUAUCCAACAAUAAACUAAAAAUAAUUUCAGUUACAAAGAAACUGAAAGUUAUCCAAAACUAUUAUAGAACCAAGUUGCCUCUUAAUAUUGGCGUGUGGAAUUUUUCCCUUUUCCUUCUCUUUACCUUUACUUCCUUUUUCCCCAUAAAUUAUUAUUCCUUUCUCCACCUUGGUUUUAGGGCAGCUAAACUAAAAUAGCUCAAUCACAUUGAAAAAAGAAAAAAAUAGGAAGACACUUCCCAAUUACUUGAUCUAUAUUAAUGGCAAGUAUAAUUUAAGUUAACUGCAUCUUGCUGGUGUAGCUGGUUGCACCUUAGUUGUUUACCCUUACAAACUAGCACAAAGACAAGCUUGAAUUCAGGCAUCCUUAUUUCCUUACUCAUGGUCUGUGUACAGCCGCCCAGAGAAUAUGUUCUAGCAUAUAAUAAAAGCUACAAUUGACUACACCCAAAAUUCAGAAAAGGCAUGUAAAAUGAUCAUAAUCAUCUUACCCACAUAUCAAACAAGUGCUCAGUGAGAGAAAAUGCCAAACCAGUUAGUCAUGGAAAUGAUGCAUACAGUGAACUAAAUAUCUAGAAUCCCAGGAGAAUGAACAUAGGAAAACCUUCCAAUCACUUGAUACAGACAAUUGUUCAGAAAAUUCCAAAGUACAAGUUAGAAUAACUACAUCUUGAUCACAGUUUGCCUUUGUCUCUUCACAAAUCUCAGCAUUUAGCCAGCAAAGAAGAGUUUUCACCUAGAUAACCUGGUUUAUGGUUUGAG
rnacentral:misc_RNA from 1 species